rnacentral:rRNA from 1 species
UAAGUGGUGGAAAUUAAACCAAAUGGGAUAUCUUUAGUAAUUGCGAAUGAACAAGGAUAUGCUUAGCUUGACAAAUGGAGCUAUUGGCUUUGAAUUGUAUUGUGGAAAUGUAUUACCAACAGAGGUGCAGGUGCCAGCCUAUUGAAAUAAAGCGUCAAUGAGGGUGAGAAUCCUGUUUGUCAUGUGCAGCCCUUUGUGCACGGUGUAUAUUUGCUGAGUCACACUCCUUGGCAUUGGAAUGCAAAGUGGGUGGUAAGUUUCAUGUAAAGGUAAACAUGCAAUUGAGACUGAUAGCACACAAGUACCAUGAGGGAAAUAUGAAAAGGACUUUGAAAAGAGAAUUAAAUGAGUUUGUAUUUGCUGAACACAAAGUAAACAGACUUGAUUUGCUUGGUGGGAGUGUUGCACUUGCUUGACAAGAGCUUUGGGCUGUGGGUGUAAUGAUUCUUUCUUUGCAUGCCAGUUUCUAUGUGUACAUCUGAUUACCUUUGCACAUGAAUGAUAAGUCUCCUGUGGGGGGUGGAUUGCAUGUGCAUGUAAUGAUUUGUGUUUUGAUAAAUGUGUCUGGUGUAUGUGUGUGUUCCUGUGCUUGGGGAUGCUUCCUUCCUUGGACUUACAAGCCCUGACACACACAUGCUGGCAAAAUGCUUCUGCUUGACCCG